rnacentral:rRNA from 1 species
GAGGGGCCCGCGUCCGAUUAGCUAGUUGGUGGGGUAACGGCCUACCAAGGCAUCGAUCGGUAGCUGGUCUGAGAGGAUGAUCAGCCACACUGGGACUGCGACACGGCCCAGACUCCUACGGGAGGCAGCAGUGGGGAAUAUUGGACAAUGGGCGCAAGCCUGAUCCAGCAAUGCCGCGUGCGUGAUGAAGGCCUUCGGGUUGUAAAGCGCUUUCGCCCACGACGAUGAUGACGGUAGUGGGAGAAGAAGCCCCGGCUAACUCCGUGCCAGCAGCCGCGGUAAUACGGAGGGGGCUAGCGUUGUUCGGAAUUACUGGGCGUAAAGGGUGCGUAGGCGGCUGUUCAAGUCAGACGUGAAGGGCCUGGGCUCAACCUGGGAACUGCGUUUGAGACUGGACGGCUUGAGUCCGGGAGAGGUGAGCGGAAUUCCCAGUGUAGAGGUGAAAUUCGUAGAUAUUGGGAAGAACACCGGUGGCGAAGGCGGCUCACUGGACCGGUACUGACGCUGAGGCACGAAAGCGUGGGGAGCAAACAGGAUUAGAUACCCUGGUAGUCCACGCUGUAAACGAUGUGCGCUAGACG